rnacentral:rRNA from 1 species
GAUGAACGCUAGCGGCAGGCCUAACACAUGCAAGUCGAGGGGUAUUAGGGGCUUGCUCCUAAGAGACCGGCGCACGGGUGCGUAACGCGUAUGCAAUCUGCCUUGUACAGAGGGAUAGCCCAGAGAAAUUUGGAUUAAUACCUCAUGGUGUAAUGAACUGGCAUCGGUUUAUUACUAAAGCUUCGGCGGUACAAGAUGAGCAUGCGUCCCAUUAGCUAGUUGGUAAGGUAACGGCUUACCAAGGCUACGAUGGGUAGGGGUCCUGAGAGGGAGAUCCCCCACACUGGUACUGAGACACGGACCAGACUCCUACGGGAGGCAGCAGUGAGGAAUAUUGGUCAAUGGUCGGAAGACUGAACCAGCCAUGCCGCGUGCAGGAUGACGGCCCUAUGGGUUGUAAACUGCUUUUGUACGGGAAGAAACACCGGUUCGUGAACCGGCUUGACGGUACCGUAAGAAUAAGGAUCGGCUAACUCCGUGCCAGCAGCCGCGGUAAUCACGG